rfam:Desulfobacteraceae bacterium CG2_30_51_40 cg2_3.0_scaffold_14140_c, whole genome shotgun sequence.
AGGGGCAAUGGUGCUGGGCGCCCCGCGGGCUUCAAACCCGUAGGCCCGGUCUGCAAAACCGGGAGGAGGUUCGAUUCCCCUUGCCCCU